ACUCCUGACCUUCUGCCCAGAAUCCUCGGGUUACAGAUUUCCCUUGUGGCUUCCCGUGUUCGGCCUCCUCCGUGACACGUGGCCUCCCUCUGAAGCAGGAGUUUAAACUCAUUCCAGGAUAUUUCAGCUUCCUCUCCCAGCUGGUUUCUAGGGCAUGGCAGGGAUGACCCUGCUUCCAAACACUUUCUCCACUGACACAGGAGUUUGCUCUUCUCUUCUCUACCAUUUUCCUGAAGAACUGGAAGACUAAGAGCAAGAUCCUCGGAACAUGUAACAGUGUAGACAAAGCAGGACUUACUUCAUGAAGACAUGGCCAUCAAUAUGCAGACAAAGCACCCCAAAUCUUUAAGAAAUACCUUUCCAACAGUGAGAGACAUGGAUCUAGAUGAACGAGGAACCCCAUCUUCUGCACAGAAACAAAGACAAAGAACAGUCUUAGACUAUAUUUUCCACAUACUGCAUCAUUACUUCUGUUGCCUUUGACAUACGCUUUUCCUAAGGAAGAAAAGAAGGAAAUACCCAGGCUGGAAAAGAGUGAACCUGUGGAUCCAGGAUAGAGUUAAACACCAGGAUGCCCUCACCUGGCGAACGGCUCCCACCAUCUCGGCACGGCUCGAGAGCCUGGCAGCCAAACGCCGCAGCACCGCGAUGUCCUCCAGGAGCUUCUGGUAGGCUUCCCUGUGCUCAUAGUGGUGCCACAGGGAACAGAGGGAAGAGCAGCAAAAUAUUCUCAACAUUUUUGUUUACCAGAAGCAAUUAAUUUGAAAAUGGAGAUUUGGAAUUCCAGAUGGAAGACGUGAAGAUCACAAUCUUUCUUUAAUUGUGUGUUUUCUUGCCUGAUGGUGUUCUUGAUGAAGUAAAUGGGAGAAUCAUAUGUUCUUCUAACUGUUCUCAUAAAAAUGGCAGCACCACCUUGCAAUAAUGAAUGCCAAGUCUAAGGCUAUCUCAUUUAUCAGCCUGGUGUCUAACCAUCCCUCCCUUUAUGCACAAAGACAUGCACGGCACUUAAGUUGACACAUCUUACCUAUUUUGUCAUUCCAGUAGGAAAACCCAGAGAAAGCUGGCAGGAGGGACUCAAAACUACUUCUAAAAAGGAACACCAGGGACAGCUGGAAUGAAAGUGUACUCGGGCCCAAAACCUGAUCCUGAGAUUGUAUCUAUUCCUUAAGCAUUCCUUGCUGUUUCCUUUCACAUAUCGUGCCCUCUAGUAUCUCCAGUUAAGAGGCCUUUCAAGAUGCAGAUCUCAGGAUUCUGAGAUUUUGGUAUCUAUCAUAUCUGGACACCUUAAAUUUACUGCUAAAGAAGGCAUUGCCCAGGAGAGCAUGGAUUAGUGCUCAAUCUGCAGUUCUGGAUGCUCUUAGCUAUGUCACAGGCUUAUUUCAAGAACCAAACAGCAAAUUCCUAGUAUUUAUUCCUGAAAUCUGCUAGACCCAGGGAAGCAUCCUCUAGAUAUUUCCAGCAAUGUUGGCCCAGUCUGGCAGAAUAUGCCCUCUCAGAGUAGUAGGCAGCUCAUGGCAAGGAGUUUGAGCAGCAGAAAAAUGAAGUUCUGGGGCUGAACUUAUAAAUCAAACACAUUUACAAUGUAUGUGCACUUUCAUGUACACUAUAGGUCAGGAAAAGAAUUCCCACUAU